GUGAGCUCGCAUGCCGCGCACCAGUGGUGAAAACGAUACGCGAUGGUGAAAAGACACGGACAGGAAUCGCGCGCCCACCCAUCCUCGAAGAGAUCGCCACGUGCUCACAUCUGUUCUUGGCCCCCACACCGUCGCUCUACCCAAUUCCUCGUCCACUCGACGUCUCGACAGAGCGAGUAUUUUGAUUAUCGAUAGUAAUGUUUCGUGAUCAAAUCUUAUUUUCGUAAGAAAAAUAAAUAUGGAAAUAUUUUUCUGUAUACAAG
rnacentral:lncRNA from 1 species